GUUGUCGUAUUUACUUCAAUCCAUGUGUGUUAGCGUGGAUUGGAGUGGAAUUUAGUUCAAGUUCCACUCCAAUCCACCUCAACACAUGUGGAUUGAUGUGAAUACGACU
rfam:Sorghum bicolor cultivar BTx623 chromosome 9, whole genome shotgun sequence.